rnacentral:rRNA from 1 species
AGCGUACACGGUGGAUGCCCUGGCAGUCAGAGGCGAUGAAGGACGUGCUAAUCUGCGAUAAGCGUCGGUAAGGUGAUAUGAACCGUUAUAACCGGCGAUUUCCGAAUGGGGAAACCCAGUGUGUUUCGACACACUAUCAUUAACUGAAUCCAUAGGUUAAUGAGGCGAACCGGGGGAACUGAAACAUCUAAGUACCCCGAGGAAAAGAAAUCAACCGAGAUUCCCCCAGUAGCGGCGAGCGAACGGGGAGGAGCCCAGAGCCUGAAUCAGUGUGUGUGUUAGUGGAAGCGUCUGGAAAGGCGCGCGAUACAGGGUGACAGCCCCGUACACAAAAAUGCACAUGCUGUGAGCUCGAUGAGUAGGGCGGGACACGUGGUAUCCUGUCUGAAUAUGGGGGGACCAUCCUCCAAGGCUAAAUACUCCUGACUGACCGAUAGUGAACCAGUACCGUGAGGGAAAGGCGAAAAGAACCCCGGCGAGGGGAGUGAAAAAGAACCUGAAACCGUGUACGUACAAGCAGUGGGAGCACGCUUCGGCGUGUGACUGCGUACCUUUUGUAUAAUGGGUCAGCGACUUAUAUUCUGUAGCAAGGUUAACCGAAUAGGGGAGCCGAAGGGAAACCGAGUCUUAACUGGGCGUUAAGUUGCAGGGUAUAGACCCGAAACCCGGUGAUCUAGCCAUGGGCAGGUUGAAGGUUGGGUAACACUAACUGGAGGACCGAACCGACUAAUGUUGAAAAAUUAGCGGAUGACUUGUGGCUGGGGGUGAAAGGCCAAUCAAACCGGGAGAUAGCUGGUUCUCCCCGAAAGCUAUUUAGGUAGCGCCUCGUGAAUUCAUCUCCGGGGGUAGAGCACUGUUUCGGCAAGGGGGUCAUCCCGACUUACCAACCCGAUGCAAACUGCGAAUACCGGAGAAUGUUAUCACGGGAGACACACGGCGGGUGCUAACGUCCGUCGUGAAGAGGGAAACAACCCAGACCGCCAGCUAAGGUCCCAAAGUCAUGGUUAAGUGGGAAACGAUGUGGGAAGGCCCAGACAGCCAGGAUGUUGGCUUAGAAGCAGCCAUCAUUUAAAGAAAGCGUAAUAGCUCACUGGUCGAGUCGGCCUGCGCGGAAGAUGUAACGGGGCUAAACCAUGCACCGAAGCUGCGGCAGCGACGCUUAUGCGUUGUUGGGUAGGGGAGCGUUCUGUAAGCCUGUGAAGGUGUACUGUGAGGUAUGCUGGAGGUAUCAGAAGUGCGAAUGCUGACAUAAGUAACGAUAAAGCGGGUGAAAAGCCCGCUCGCCGGAAGACCAAGGGUUCCUGUCCAACGUUAAUCGGGGCAGGGUGAGUCGACCCCUAAGGCGAGGCCGAAAGGCGUAGUCGAUGGGAAACAGGUUAAUAUUCCUGUACUUGGUGUUACUGCGAAGGGGGGACGGAGAAGGCUAUGUUGGCCGGGCGACGGUUGUCCCGGUUUAAGCGUGUAGGCUGGUUUUCCAGGCAAAUCCGGAAAAUCAAGGCUGAGGCGUGAUGACGAGGCACUACGGUGCUGAAGCAACAAAUGCCCUGCUUCCAGGAAAAGCCUCUAAGCAUCAGGUAACAUCAAAUCGUACCCCAAACCGACACAGGUGGUCAGGUAGAGAAUACCAAGGCGCUUGAGAGAACUCGGGUGAAGGAACUAGGCAAAAUGGUGCCGUAACUUCGGGAGAAGGCACGCUGAUAUGUAGGUGAAGUCCCUCGCGGAUGGAGCUGAAAUCAGUCGAAGAUACCAGCUGGCUGCAACUGUUUAUUAAAAACACAGCACUGUGCAAACACGAAAGUGGACGUAUACGGUGUGACGCCUGCCCGGUGCCGGAAGGUUAAUUGAUGGGGUCAGCGCAAGCGAAGCUCUUGAUCGAAGCCCCGGUAAACGGCGGCCGUAACUAUAACGGUCCUAAGGUAGCGAAAUUCCUUGUCGGGUAAGUUCCGACCUGCACGAAUGGCGUAAUGAUGGCCAGGCUGUCUCCACCCGAGACUCAGUGAAAUUGAACUCGCUGUGAAGAUGCAGUGUACCCGCGGCAAGACGGAAAGACCCCGUGAACCUUUACUAUAGCUUGACACUGAACAUUGAGCCUUGAUGUGUAGGAUAGGUGGGAGGCUUUGAAGUGUGGACGCCAGUCUGCAUGGAGCCGACCUUGAAAUACCACCCUUUAAUGUUUGAUGUUCUAACGUUGACCCGUAAUCCGGGUUGCGGACAGUGUCUGGUGGGUAGUUUGACUGGGGCGGUCUCCUCCUAAAGAGUAACGGAGGAGCACGAAGGUUGGCUAAUCCUGGUCGGACAUCAGGAGGUUAGUGCAAUGGCAUAAGCCAGCUUGACUGCGAGCGUGACGGCGCGAGCAGGUGCGAAAGCAGGUCAUAGUGAUCCGGUGGUUCUGAAUGGAAGGGCCAUCGCUCAACGGAUAAAAGGUACUCCGGGGAUAACAGGCUGAUACCGCCCAAGAGUUCAUAUCGACGGCGGUGUUUGGCACCUCGAUGUCGGCUCAUCACAUCCUGGGGCUGAAGUAGGUCCCAAGGGUAUGGCUGUUCGCCAUUUAAAGUGGUACGCGAGCUGGGUUUAGAACGUCGUGAGACAGUUCGGUCCCUAUCUGCCGUGGGCGCUGGAGAACUGAGGGGGGCUGCUCCUAGUACGAGAGGACCGGAGUGGACGCAUCACUGGUGUUCGGGUUGUCAUGCCAAUGGCACUGCCCGGUAGCUAAAUGCGGAAGAGAUAAGUGCUGAAAGCAUCUAAGCACGAAACUUGCCCCGAGAUGAGUUCUCCCUGACUCCUUGA